AUUGAACGCUGGCGGCAGGCCUAACACAUGCAAGUCGAGCGGAUGAAGGGAGCUUGCUCCUGGAUUCAGCGGCGGACGGGUGAGUAAUGCCUAGGAAUCUGCCUGGUAGUGGGGGAUAACGUCCGGAAACGGGCGCUAAUACCGCAUACGUCCUGAGGGAGAAAGUGGGGGAUCUUCGGACCUCACGCUAUCAGAUGAGCCUAGGUCGGAUUAGCUAGUUGGUGGGGUAAAGGCCUACCAAGGCGACGAUCCGUAACUGGUCUGAGAGGAUGAUCAGUCAACCUGAACCUGAGACCCGGUCCGGACCCUAACGGGAGGCAGAGGGGGGAAAUUUUGGCCAAGGGGCGAAAGCUUGUCCCAGCCUGGCGGCGGGUGUGAAGAAGGUCUUCGGAUUGUAAAGCACUUUAAGUUGGGAGGAAGGGAAGUAAGUUAAUACCUGGCUGUUUGGAGGUAACAAAAAGAAUAGGAACCGGCAAACUUCGG
rnacentral:rRNA from 1 species